rnacentral:lncRNA from 1 species
GUUUAACUUUCUAUAGUAUGCAACCUAAACUUAUCUUUUUAACUUCAUUUCUUAUAAAUGACUUUAUACAAUUACGUUCCACGAAUCUCACUGCACUGACCAUAGUAAACUCGACACGAAUUAGACUUCAGUAGUCUCUCUCGAUACUGGAGAGAUCUAGUUCAAUCACAUAUUGUCCAUAUAUGUCUUUCAAUAGCAAGUGAUGGAUAGGCUGAAACAUGUAUAUCGUCUAGUAAUUUUGUCCAGCAACCUACCGUCAUCCAAUUCGUGGAUGGCAAGUGAUUUGAAUUAUACCUCUCCAACUCAAUCACAAAU